rnacentral:rRNA from 1 species
GACGAACGCUGGCGGCGUGCUUAACACAUGCAAGUCGAACGGCAACGCCCUAGCUUCCUGGGGUUCUCGAGUGGCGAACGCGUGCGUAACACGUGGGCAAUCUGCCCUGCACUCUCGUGUAAGCCUGGGAAACUGGGUCUACUACCGUAUAGGAUCCUGCUUUCGUGUGUGCGCAGGAAAGCUUCUCGGUUCAGGAUGAGCCCUCGGCCUAUCUGCUUUUUGGUGGGGUACUGGCCUACCAAGCCGGCGACGGGUGGCCGGCCUGGGAGGGUGUACGGCGACAAGGGGACUGAGAGACGGCGCAGACGGGUACGGGAGGCAGCAGGGGGGAAUAUGGCACAAUGGGAGCAAGCCUGAGGCAGAGGCGCCGCGUGGGGGAUGACGGCCUUCGGGUUGUAAACCGCUGUAGGCAGGGACGAAGCUUUUGUGACGGUACCUGAAGAAGAAGCACCGGCUAACUACGUG